GAUGAAGAACGUAGCGAAAUGCGAUACGUAAUGUGAAUUGCAGAAUUCAGUGAAUCAUCGAAUCUUUGAACGCAUAUUGCGCUCUCUGGUAUUCCGGAGAGCAUGCUUGUUUGAGUAUCAGUAAACACCUCAACUCCCCUUUCUUUUUUGAAAUGGGAGCUGGACUUGAGUGAUCCCAACGCUUUUCUCACCGAAAAGUGGCGGGUUACUUGAAAUGCAGGUGCAGCUGGACUUUUCUCUGAGCUAAAAGCAUAUCUAUUUAGUCUGCCUAAAAACUGAUUAUUACCUUUGCUGCAGCUAACAUAAAGGAGAUUAGUUCUUGUGCUGACUGAUGCAGGAUGCACAGAGACAGCUUCGGCUGGCCGUUGUAAACUCGAUCUCAAAUCAAGUAAGACUACCCGCUGAACUUAAGCAUAUCAAUAAGCGGAGGA
rnacentral:misc_RNA from 1 species